GGAAGGGUGGCCGAGUGGUCUAUGGCGGCGGUCUUGAAAACCGCUAUCCGCUUCAUGCGGAUCGGGGGUUCGAAUCCCUCCCCUUCCGCCA
rnacentral:tRNA from 1 species